rnacentral:misc_RNA from 1 species
AGUUCAAGGAGGUUUUUAUGGAAUUUCUCGCAUGUCCUUUCACAAAAACCUUGGUAUUUUAUGUUUACAAGCUCUGAUGAACCUGUUGGCCAUGCCUAUGAUCCAAUCCUCAGAAAGUGGUAUGGCAUCGAUCUCCCCUGCAUUGGGACAUCCAGUUGGUUUGUUACUUCAUCUCAUGGUUUAGUUUGCUUCAUGGAUAACGACAGCCA